rnacentral:tRNA from 1 species
ACCUGGGAUAGCUCAGUCGGUAGAGCAAGAGAGUCUAAAUCUCGGGGUUGUGGGUUUGAGCCCCAUGUUGGGAG